GACGUAGGAUGCGAGCGUUGUCCGGAUUUAUUGGGCGUAAAGAGUUCGUAGGUGGUUUGUUAAGUCUGAUGUUAAAGACUGGGGCUCAACCUCGGAAGUGCAUUGGAUACUGGCGGACUCGAGUGCAGUAGAGGCAAGCGGAAUUCCAGGUGUAGCGGUGAAAUGCGUAGAUAUCUGGAAGAACACCGGUGGCGCAAGCGGCUUGCUGGGCUGUAACUGACACUGAGGAACGAAAGCUAGGGUAGCGAAUGGG
rnacentral:rRNA from 1 species